rnacentral:piRNA from 1 species
UAGCUACUUGAAGCACUUAGUUGAGGA